rnacentral:lncRNA from 1 species
AAUGCGCUAUGUUAUUUUAAUUAUUAUCAUCGAAGGGCACAAAAUCUGUGCAAUUAUUAGAGGAAAAUAAAUACAACAAAUUCAAUUAUUUAAUGCUACAUCAUUAGUUAAAUGACAUGUAAUGGAACAUUUUAUCAUCAUAUAUAUUUAUUUGGAUUAUGACAAAAACAUAUGUAAUUCCUACAUUUCGGAGUUCGAGGAAGCCCACACUUAACUUUCGUUACACAAUGAGAGUCCUCACGACAUUCAUAUCUUGCUGUAAUGAGAAAAGAGAAUAUAGAAAUGUUACUAAUUAAAGGGCAUAAAAGGUUAGUUAAGAAGUAAAGAAUAAAAUUGUAAAAUAAUGAAAAAUGAUUUACCGGCAUCGUUCAUUGCAAUGAAAAAUAGUGAAAGAAAGAGAAUCGUAAUAUAAAAAAGGUUAGUGACUUUAGCCAUAUUUUUCUCCUUUU